rnacentral:rRNA from 1 species
GAGUUUGAUCGUGGCUCAGGAUGAACGCUAGCGGCAGGCUUAAUACAUGCAAGUCGAGGGGCAGCAUGACUGUAGCAAUACAGUUGAUGGCGACCGGCAAACGGGUGCGGAACACGUACACAACCUUCCUUUAAGCGGGGAACAGCCCGGGGAAACCCGGAUUAAUACCCCAUAGUAUAUUGAAGAGGCAUCUUUUAAUAUUAAAGAUUUAUCACUUGAAGAUGGGUGUGCGGCUGAUUAGGUAGUUGGCGGGGUAAUGGCCCACCAAGCCUGCGAUCAGUAACUGGUGUGAGAGCACGACCAGUCACACGGGCACUGAGACACGGGCCCGACUCCUACGGGAGGCAGCAGUAAGGAAUAUUGGUCAAUGGACGAAAGUCUGAACCAGCCAUGCCGCGUGAAGGAUGAAGGCCCUCUGGGGUUGUAAACUUCUUUUAAUAUGGGACGAAAAAGGACUUUUCUAAGUCAAACUGACGGUACCAUGUGAAUAAGCACCGGCUAACUCCGUGCCAGCCGCCGCCGUAAU